CCCCUGAUCUACAUGUAUUUUUUAAAAUUUAUAAAAAGAGCAAGUCUCAAGCCUCAGAAGAAAAGUAUAUGAUUGGGCUGGAGAAGAAUCAAGUCCACUGCACCUACAAUCACCAGGCUGGGAAACUAAGGCAGCAGGAAGGAAACAGGGAAAAGACAAAUUGAUAAUAACUAGAAAAAUGGACGAAAAGAAAAACAAACAUAAAUCAAGCAAGAGUCUGAACAAGGAGAACAAAAACCCACCAAUUACCAAUGCCAAAAACUGCGAGACAUGAACAAGGUCAAAAAGGAUUGCAGAGUUCAAAAACAGUAAAGAAUCAAACACAAAUUGAUGAAAAUAAAGCACAAGAAGGUUUUGGAAUCCAAGUAGACGGAUAUAGAAGUAGACCUAGAAUGACCCUUAUAUCUUGGUGAGUGAUGGCUGACAGCCUUAUAACCUCUGAAGCCACACCUUACACUGUGCAAAAGCUUGACAAUUUAGUGCAGCUGAGCAAAAAACAAAAUGGUGGCGGAAAAUGGCCCAAAAUAAAAAAGA